GCACAAGAAGAUAUGCUAGCUUGCUUGACCAGAGUGGAGGUAGUCUUGGUGGAGGUGGUAAGAUCAGGAGCCAUGAUCACUGAAUUUUUUCUUUAAAAAAAAAAAAAAAUUUANNNNNNNNCAAAGAAAAGAGUCUUAAGAAAGAAAAUGAAGUGUUUUCUUGACACACAAAGGAAAAGAAACGAUUGUGUAUGGAAGGAGAGAAAAUUUAAAAGAUUUGCUUUGUUGCUCGACUG
rnacentral:misc_RNA from 1 species